rnacentral:rRNA from 1 species
GUGGGGAAUUUUGGACAAUGGGCGCAAGCCUGAUCCAGCGACGCCGCGUGGAGGACGAAGGCCUUCGGGUUGUAAACUCCUUUUGGAGGGGAAGAAUAAAUUGACGGUACCCUCAGAAAAAGCCACGGCUAACUACGUGCCAGCAGCCGCGGUAAUACGAAGGUGGCGAGCGUUACUCGGCAUUACUAGGCGUAAAGCGUAUGUAGGUGGUUAGAUAAGUCUAUGGUGAAAUUGCCUGGCUUAACUGGGAAGGGACAUAGAUACUAUCUGGCUUGGGUGUGGGAGGGGGAGACGGAAUUCCUGGUGUAGCGGUGAAAUGCGUAGAUAUCAGGAGGAACACCGAUGGCGAAAGCAGUCUCCUGGCCCAAUACUGACACUGAGGUACGAAAGCUAGGGUAGCAAACAGGAUUAGAAACCCCUGUAGUCC